AUACUUACCUGGCAGGGGAGAUACCAUGAUCAUGAAGGUGGUUCACCCAGGGUGAGGCUCAGCCAUUGCACUCCGGUUGUGCUGACCCUGCGAAUUCCCCAAAUGUGGGAAUCUCGACUGCAUAAUUUCUGGUAGUGGGGGACUGCGUUCGCGCUCUCCCCUG
rnacentral:snRNA from 1 species